UUCCCCUGUUGGGGAGCCUGCGCAUGGAGUGGAGGAAUGAGAAAGGGAGAGCGGCCGUCGGGGGUGCCAGGAUCGGGAGGUGCACCCCAGCGCUGUAGACUUCCAGCCUUUUCAUUCCAUUUCUGCCUAGUGAUCUUGUUAGCAGCUCAUCUCUGUUAACAAGAUCCUUGAGGAGAAAUAGGAGCCCCAGAGUCCAUUACCUGCCACUCAGCAGCCUCUCUGGAUCCCUAUGAGUUGAGCCCACAACCAGGCUGUGGAGUGGGGCUGACUCAAACUGAAAACGGCUGGAGAUUCACAGUCUGUACUCUAACUGGGGCCCAUGGCUUCAGUUUGUCUGGUCCCUCAUUAGCCACGACUUGGACCCUUUCCGGGGUAAAAAGAAAGAAAAGAGGGAAGAGGGAAAAGCUCCCCCUCAAGGAACCCUCCUGAACCCAGUCCACCUGGAAGGAGAAACAGACUCUAGCCACAUCUGACGACCUCCGCCAGGCAUUUGCAAUUUCUUAUUUCCUUUAACCUGGACAGCUUCUGCUUGAAAGAAGCUGCUUGUUACUCUCUCCAGCAUGUAUAUGGAAAUCUGAGGUUGAAGGAGAUGCAGCAGCCUGCCAUGCUGCAAAGUUAACCCAUGACCACUGUCUACACUGCUUGCUGGUGCCGGGCC
rnacentral:lncRNA from 1 species